CGAUGAACCGCUUUCGGGCGGGGAUUAGUGGCGAACGGGUGAGUAACACGUGGGCAAUCUGCCCUGCACUCUGGGACAAGCCCUGGAAACGGGGUCUAAUACCGGAUAUGACCGUCUGCCGCAUGGUGGAUGGUGUAAAGCUCCGGCGGUGCAGGAUGAGCCCGCGGCCUAUCAGCUUGUUGGUGAGGUAGUGGCUCACCAAGGCGACGACGGGUAGCCGGCCUGAGAGGGCGACCGGCCACACUGGGACUGAGACACGGCCCAGACUCCUACGGGAGGCAGCAGUGGGGAAUAUUGCACAAUGGGCGAAAGCCUGAUGCAGCGACGCCGCGUGAGGGAUGACGGCCUUCGGGUUGUAAACCUCUUUCAGCAGGGAAGAAGCGAAAGUGACGGUACCUGCAGAAGAAGCGCCGGCUAACUACGUGCCAGCAGCCGCGGUAAUACGUAGGGCGCAAGCGUUGUCCGGAAUUAUUGGGCGUAAAGAGCUCGUAGGCGGCUUGUCACGUCGGUUGUGAAAGCCCGGGGCUUAACCCCGGGUCUGCAGUCGAUACGGGCAGGCUAGAGUUCGGUAGGGGAGAUCGGAAUUCCUGGUGUAGCGGUGAAAUGCGCAGAUAUCAGGAGGAACACCGGUGGCGAAGGCGGAUCUCUGGGCCGAUACUGACGCUGAGGAGCGAAAGCGU
rnacentral:rRNA from 1 species